UACGUAGGGCGCAAGCGUUAUCCGGAAUUAUUGGGCGUAAAGAGCUCGUAGGCGGUUUGCCGCGUCUGCCGUGAAAGUCCGGGGCUCAACUCCGGAUCUGCGGUGGGUACGGGCAGACUAGAGUGAUGUAGGGGAGACUGGAAUUCCUGGUGUAGCGGUGAAAUGCGCAGAUAUCAGGAGGAACACCGGUGGCGAAGGCGGUUCUCUGGGAAUUACCUGACGCUGAGGAGCGAAAGCAUGGGGAGCGAACAGG
rnacentral:rRNA from 1 species